rnacentral:rRNA from 1 species
AAUAGAUACCCGGGUAGUCCACGCCCUAAACGAUGUCAACUAGUUGUUCGGUGAGGAGACUCAUUGAGUAACGCAGCUAACGCGUGAAGUUGACCGCCUGGGGAGUACGGCCGCAAGGUUAAAACUCAAAGGAAUUGACGGGGACCCGCACAAGCGGUGGAUGAUGUGGAUUAAUUCAAUGCAACGCGAAAAACCUUACCUACCCUUGACAUGCCAGGAACUUGCCAGAGAUGGCUUGGUGCCCGAAAGGGAGCCUGGACACAGGUGCUGCAUGGCUGUCGUCAGCUCGUGUCGUGAGAUGUUGGGUUAAGUCCCGCAACGAGCGCAACCCUUGUCAUUAGUUGCCAUCAUUCAGUUGGGCACUCUAAUGAGACUGCCGGUGACAAACCGGAGGAAGGUGGGGAUGACGUCAAGUCCUCAUGGCCCUUAUGGGUAGGGCUUCACACGUCAUACAAUGGUCGGUACAGAGGGUUGCCAAGCCGCGAGGUGGAGCCAAUCCCAGAAAGCCGAUCGUAGUCCGGA